rnacentral:rRNA from 1 species
AGUGAGAAUGCCGGAAUGAGUAGCGAGAAUUAUGUGAGAAUCAUAAUGGCCGAAAAUCUAAGGUUUCCUGAGGAAGGUUCGUCCGCUCAGGGUAAGCCGGGGGCUAAGGCGAGGCGGAGACGCGUAGCCGAUGCACAUACGGUUGAAAUUCCGUAGCCACCGAAAGAUUUAAGUACAGGGACGCUUUAGAAGUGAUGUUGCCGGGCGAUGGUUGACCCGGUCGUAAGGGAUCGAAAAUGAGUAGAGAAGUCAUCAUGGAAAGAGACAAGAAAAGCUGUAUGUAUAUUUUAGGUGCCCGUACCGCAAACCGACACAGGUAGAUGGGAAGAAGAUUCUAAGGCCAACGGGAGAAGGGUUGUUAAGGAACUCGGCAAGUUGACCCCGUAACUUAGGGAUAAGGGGUGCUCAAGUGAUUGAGCCGCAGAGAAUAGGCCCAGGCGACUGUUUAGCAAAAACACAGGUCUCUGCUAAAUCGAAAGAUGACGUAUAGGGGCUGACACCUGCCCGGUGCCGGAAGGUUAAGAGGAGAUGUGAGAGCAUUGAAUUGAAGCCCCGGUAAACGGCGGCCGUAACUAUAACGGUCCUAAGGUAGCGAAAUUCCUUGUCAGGUAAGUUCUGACCCGCACGAAAGGUGUAACGAUCUGGGCACUGUCUCAACAACUCGCCCGGCGAAAUUGUAGUACCGGUGAAGAUGCCGGUUACCCGCGACUAGACGGAAAGACCCCAUGGAGCUUUACUGUAGCCUAAUAUUGGAUUUCGGUAUUUCACGUACAGGAUAGGUGGGAGACUGGGAAGCACAGGCGUCAGCUUGUGUGGAGUCGACCUUGGGAUACCACUCUUGGAGUGCUGGAAUUCUAACCUGCGGCUUUGAAGCAAGUCGGGGGACAUUGUUAGGUGGGCAGUUUGACUGGGGCGGUCGCCUCCUAAAGAGUAACGGAGGCGCUCAAAGGUUCGCUCUGCAUGGAUGGAAACCAUGCGUCAGAGUGUAAACGCAAAAGCGAGCCUAACUGCGAGAAUGACGGUUCGAGCAGUAACGAAAGUUGGAGUUAGUGAUCCGGCGGUAUGUGAAUGGAAAUGCCGUCGCUCAACGGAUAAAAGCUACCCUGGGGAUAACAGGCUGAUCUCCCCCAAGAGUCCACAUCGACGGGGAGGUUUGGCACCUCGAUGUCGGCUCAUCGCAUCCUGGGGCUGAAUUCGGUCCCAAGGGUUUGGCUGUUCGCCAAUUAAAGCGGUACGCGAGCUGGGUUCAGAACGUCGUGAGACAGUUCGGUCCCUAUCUGUCGUGGGCGUAGGAUAUUUGCAAGGAGCUGUCCCUAGUACGAGAGGACCGGGAUGGACGCACCUCUGGUGCACCAGUUGUCACGCCAGUGGCACAGCUGGGCAGCUAUGUGCGGAACGGAUAAACGCUGAAGGCAUCUAAGCGUGAAGCCGCCCUUAAGAUAAGAUAUCCCUUCUGUUUACAGAGUAAGACCCCUUGAAGACUACAAGGUUGAUAGGCUCAAAGUGUAAGCACGGUGACGUGUUUAGCUAGCGAGUACUAAUCGGUCGAGGGCUUAACCU